rnacentral:rRNA from 1 species
CACGGGUGCGUAACGCGUAGGUAAUCUGCCCUGAGGUCUGACAUAACCCGUCGAAAGGCGGGCUAACAUCAGAUGAUAUAUGAUCACGACAUCGUGGAAAUAUCAAAUCUUCGGAGCCUUGGGAUGAGCCUGCGUCUGACUUAGGUAGUUGGCGGAGUAAUAGCCCACCAAGCCUACGAUCAGUAGCUGGUCUGAGAGGAUGAUCAGCCACACUUGGAACUGAGACACGGUCCAGACUCCUACGGGAGGCAGCAGUAAGGAAUAUUGCUCAAUGGGGGAAACCCUGAAGCAGGCAACGCCGCGUGAAGGAUGAAAUACUUUUGUAUGUAAACUUCUAGUAAGAUGGGAAAAUAUUCUCCUCGGGAGAAUUGAUUGUACCAUCAGAGUAAGCCCCGGCUAACUACGUG